AGCUACAUCUGAUUACUGGGUCA
rnacentral:miRNA from 2 species